GCGUACACGGUGGAUGCCUAGGCAGUCAGAGGCGAUGAAGGGCGUGCUAAUCUGCGAAAAGCGUCGGCAAGGUGAUAUGAACCGUUAUACCCGACGAUACCCGAAUGGGGAAACCCAGUGCAAUCCGUUGCACUAUCGCAACAUGAAUACAUAGUGUUGCGAGGCGAACCGGGGGAACUGAAACAUCUCAGUACCCCGAGGAAAAGAAAUCAACCGAGAUUCCCCUAGUAGCGGCGAGCGAACGGGGAGGAGCCCAGAACCUGAAUCAGUUUGUGUCUUAGUGGAAGCGUCUGGAAAGUCGCACGACAGAGGGUGAUAGUCCCGUACACGAAGAGGCAUGGAUUGUGAGUUCGAUGAGUAGGGCGGGACACGUGUUAUCCUGUCUGAAUAUGGGGGGACCAUCCUCCAAGGCUAAAUACUCCUGACUGACCGAUAGUGAACCAGUACCGUGAGGGAAAGGCGAAAAGAACCCCGGCGAGGGGAGUGAAAUAGAACCUGAAACCGUGUACGUACAAGCAGUGGGAGCCUUGAUUAAUCAGGGUGACUGCGUACCUU
rnacentral:rRNA from 1 species